UCCUCUCCCACUGUAGACCCAUCGUGGUGGGGACGGAGGAGACCUCAGGUGUGGCAGGAAGGCUACUGUGAGAGCUGCCAAAAGACCAGGACCAGGGACUCAUCGUAACAACACGAGAGCAAGUGCACGAUUAUCUCAUCGCCAGAGUCCCAGUCUCCCCGCCUCCACACUGGCCCCUUGGGACCCUGUGUAUCUGUGCUUCUUUAUUUCGAAUCAUCAUCAUGUCACCAUCCAAA